UACGGAGGAUGCAAGCGUUAUCCGGAAUGAUUGGGCGUAAAGCGUCCGCAGGUGGCAAUGUAAGUCUGCUGUUAAAGCGUCUGGCUCAACCAGAUAAAGGCAGUGGAAACUACAUAGCUAGAGUAAGGUAGGGGUAGAGGGAAUUCCUGGUGUAGCGGUGAAAUGCGUAGAGAUCAGGAAGAACACCGGUGGCGAAAGCGCUCUGCUGGACCUAAACUGACACUGAGGGACGAAAGCUAGGGGAGCGAAUGGG
rnacentral:rRNA from 1 species